rnacentral:rRNA from 1 species
GACGAACGCUGGCGGCGUGCUUAACACAUGCAAGUCGAACGAAGAGCGAUGGAAGCUUGCUUCUAUCAAUCUUAGUGGCGAACGGGUGAGUAACGCGUAAUCAACCUGCCCUUCAGAGGGGGACAACAGUUGGAAACGACUGCUAAUACCGCAUACGAUCUAAUCUCGGCAUCGAGGAUAGAUGAAAGGUGGCCUCUACAUGUAAGCUAUCACUGAAGGAGGGGAUUGCGUCUGAUUAGCUAGUUGGAGGGGUAACGGCCCACCAAGGCGAUGAUCAGUAGCCGGUCUGAGAGGAUGAACGGCCACAUUGGGACUGAGACACGGCCCAGACUCCUACGGGAGGCAGCAGUGGGGAAUCUUCCGCAACGGACGAAAGUCUGACGGAGCAAACGCCCGCGUGAGUGAAUGACGGGCCCUUCCGGGGUUGUAAAAGCUCUGUUAAAUCGGG